AUGGCGGCCCGGAAGGCCAAGGCCCUGCCAGGUGCGAGGCCUGUCUACCUGUGGCUCUGUCGGUGACGACGCGAAUAGCGGGGGGAAGGCGCACCUGCAGCGUUGAGAUGCGAGGCACACACAGGCCCACAUAGAAAGGGCGAGAGAGAGAGAGAGAGAGAGGGAGAGGGAGAGAGCAGCAGGGUGAAGGCGAGGACGUACAGUGAACGUGUGGGGGGGAGAGGGCACGGAAGCGCGUCACGUUUACGCGGUCCCGGUUUCGCCGGCGGUGUAGUGAUCCAUUCCUUAGGGUGAGGCAUGGAUGCUUUUUUUUAUGCGUUCGGACGGAUGUUGGCGCGGAAGACGAUAAGUCUCUGCCACAGCUGGCCGGAGUGGAAAUGCGGUUACGCGGUUGAAACGCUUCUUUUUCUCCGUGCCCUUUCGCCGAAAGGAAGGUUGCCCUGCCGACCUCAACGUCUAAGUUAAAGCCGACGCCGACGCAGCUGCAAGCCUUCGCGACAGCCGCGUCUACGCGACGUAUCAUGCUUGUCUGCUUUACGAUGCUCAAUUAUAAGUAUUGCCCAAUUUCCGGUAUUCUUUGUCUGGUCUAAUUUCCAAAAAACAUCACCUAUUCUUUUUCAUAUAGCGAUGUCUUUUUUUUGUCGUCCAGCUCCGCUUCCUCAUCGGCCAGUUCCGCUUCCUCAUCGUCCAGCUCCGCUUUCUUGUCGUCCAGCUCUCUUCCUUGUCGUUCAUCCAGCUCCGCUUUCUUGUCGUCCAGCUCCGCUUUCUUGUCGUCCAGCUCUCUUCCUUGUCGUCCAGCUCUCUUCCUUGUCGUCCAGCUCCGCUUCCUUAUCGUCCA
rnacentral:lncRNA from 1 species